CCUACGGGUGGCUGCAGUGGGGAAUAUUGCACAAUGGGCGCAAGCCUGAUGCAGCCAUGCCGCGUGUGUGAAGAAGGCCUUCGGGUUGUAAAGCACUUUCAGCGGGGAGGAAGGCGUUAAGGUUAAUAACCUUGGCGAUUGACGUUACCCGCAGAAGAAGCACCGGCUAACUCCGUGCCAGCAGCCGCGGUAAUACGGAGGGUGCAAGCGUUAAUCGGAAUUACUGGGCGUAAAGCGCACGCAGGCGGUCCGUCAAGUCGGAUGUGAAAUCCCCGGGCUCAACCUGGGAACUGCAUUCGAAACUGGCAGGCUAGAGUCUUGUAGAGGGGGGUAGAAUUCCAGGUGUAGCGGUGAAAUGCGUAGAGAUCUGGAGGAAUACCGGUGGCGAAGGCGGCCCCCUGGACAAAGACUGACGCUCAGGUGCGAAAGCGUGGGGAGCAAACAGGAUAGAUACCCCUGUAGUC
rnacentral:rRNA from 1 species